rnacentral:rRNA from 1 species
AACGAACGCUGGCGGCAUGCCUAACACAUGCAAGUCGAACGAGACCUUCGGGUCUAGUGGCGCACGGGUGCGUAACGCGUGGGAACCUGCCCUUAGGUUCGGAAUAACUCCCCGAAAGGGGUGCUAAUACCGGAUAAUGUCUUCGGACCAAAGAUUUAUCGCCUUUGGAUGGGCCCGCGUUGGAUUAGCUAGUUGGUAGGGUAAAAGCCUACCAAGGCGACGAUCCAUAGCUGGUCUGAGAGGAUGAUCAGCCACACUGGGACUGAGACACGGCCCAGACUCCUACGCGAGGCAGCAGUGGGGAAUAUUGUACAAUGGGCGAAAGCCUGAUCCAGCAAUGCCGCGUGAGUGAUGAAGGCCUUAGGGUUGUAAAGCUCUUUUACCCGGGAUGAUAAUGACAGUACCGGGAGAAUAAGCUCCGGCUAACUCCGUG